rnacentral:rRNA from 1 species
GAUGAACGCUGGCGGCGUGCCUAAUACAUGCAAGUCGAGCGAACGGACGAGAAGCUUGCUUCUCUGAUGUUAGCGGCGGACGGGUGAGUAACACGUGGAUAACCUACCUAUAAGACUGGGAUAACUUCGGGAAACCGGAGCUAAUACCGGAUAAUAUUUUGAACCGCAUGGUUCAAAAGUGAAAGACGGUCUUGCUGUCACUUAUAGAUGGAUCCGCGCUGCAUUAGCUAGUUGGUAAGGUAACGGCUUACCAAGGCAACGAUGCAUAGCCGACCUGAGAGGGUGAUCGGCCACACUGGAACUGAGACACGGUCCAGACUCCUACGGGAGGCAGCAGUAGGGAAUCUUCCGCAAUGGGUGAAAGUCUGACGGAGCAACGCCGCGUGAGUGAUGAAGGUCUUCGGAUCGUAAAACUCUGUUAUUAGGGAAGAACAUAUGUGUAAGUAACUGUGCACAUCUUGACGGUACCUAAUCAGAAAGCCACGGCUAACUACGUG